GUGUCUGAGUGUAUAACAGAGCUCCACAGCAAUAAUACUCCCAGUAAUGUGUCUGUGUGUGUAACAGAUCUCCACAGUAAUAAUACUCCCAGUAAUGUGUCUGAGUGUAUAACAGAGCUCCACAGUAAUAAUAUUCCCAGUAAUGUGUCUGAGUGUAUAACAGAGCUCCACAGUAAUAAUACUCCCAGUAAUGUGUCUGAGUGUAUAACAGAGCUCCACAGCAAUAAUACUCCCAGUAAU